rnacentral:rRNA from 1 species
AGCGAACGCUGGCGGCAGGCUUAACACAUGCAAGUCGAGCGGGCACUUUCGGGUGUCAGCGGCGGACGGGUGAGUAACGCGUGGGAACGUGCCCUCUGGUUCGGAAUAACUCAGGGAAACUUGAGCUAAUACCGGAUACGCCCUUUUGGGGAAAGGCUUGCUGCCGGAGGAUCGGCCCGCGUCUGAUUAGCUAGUUGGUGAGGUAACGGCUCACCAAGGCGACGAUCAGUAGCUGGUCUGAGAGGAUGAUCAGCCACACUGGGACUGAGACACGGCCCAGAAUCCUACGGAAGGCAGCAGUGGGGAAUAUUGGACAAUGGGGGCAAGCCCGAUCCAGCUAGGCCGCGUGAGUGAUGAAGGCCUUAGGGUUGUAAAGCUCUUUUAUCCGGGACGAUAAUGACGGUACCGGAGGAAUAAGCCCCGGCUAACUUCGUG